rnacentral:rRNA from 1 species
AGCGAACGCUGGCGGCAGGCCUAACACAUGCAAGUCGAACGGACCCUUCGGGGUUAGUGGCGGACGGGUGAGUAACACGUGGGAACGUGCCUUUAGGUUCGGAAUAGCUCCUGGAAACGGGUGGUAAUGCCGAAUGUGCCCUUCGGGGGAAAGAUUUAUCGCCUUUAGUGCGUCCCGCGUCUGAUUAGCAAGUUGGUGAGGUAACGGCUCACCAAGGCGACGAUCAGUGGCUGGUCUGAGAGGAUGACCAGCCACCCUGGGACUGCGACACGGCCCAGACUCCUACGGGAGGCAGCAGUGGGGAAUCUUGCGCAAUGGGCGAAAGCCUGACGCAGCCAUGCCGCGUGAAUGAUGAAGGUCUUAGGAUUGUAAAAUUCUUUCCCCGGGGACGAUAAUGACGGUACCCGGAGAAGAAGCCCCGGCUAACUUCGUGCCAGCCGCCGCUGUAA